rnacentral:rRNA from 1 species
ACGCGAAAGCCCCCUUCGGGGGGCAAGUAGAGUGGCGCACGGGUGAGUAACACGUAGGUAAUCUACCUUUGGAUGGGGAAUAACAACCGGAAACGGUUGCUAAUACCGCAUAAUGCAGCGGCACCUAAUGGUGACAGUUGUUAAAGCGGGAGAUCGCAAGACCUCGCGUCUGAAGAGGAGCCUGCGGCAGAUUAGCUAGUUGGUAAGGCAAAGGCUUACCAAGGCGAUGAUCUGUAGCCGGCCUGAGAGGGCGGUCGGCCACACUGACACUGACAUACGGGUCAGACUCCUACGGGAGGCAGCAGUCGGGAAUUUUGGGCAAUGGGCGAAAGCCUGACCCAGCAACGCCGCGUGAAGGAUGAAAUCCCUCGGGAUGUAAACUUCGCAAGAACGGGAAGAAUAAGCCGGUGUUAACACCUCCGGCGAUGACGGUACUGUUUGUAAGCUCCGGCUAACUCCGUGCCAGCAGCCGCGGUAAUACGGGGGGAGCAAGCGUUG